GAUGAACGCUGGCGGCGUGCCUAAUACAUGCAAGUUGAGCGAAUGGAUUAAGAGCUUGCUCUUAUGAAGUUAGCGGCGGACGGGUGAGUAACACGUGGGUAACCUGCCCAUAAGACUGGGAUAACUCCGGGAAACCGGGGCUAAUACCGGAUAACAUUUUGAACCGCAUGGUUCGGAAUUGAAAGGCGGCUUCGGCUGUCACUUAUGGAUGGACCCGCGUCGCAUUAGCUAGUUGGUGAGGUAACGGCUCACCAAGGCAACGAUACGUAGCCGACCUGAGAGGGUGGUCGGCCGCACUGGGACUGAGCCACGGCCCAGACUCCUACGGGAGGCAGCAGUAGGGAAUCUUCCGCAAUGGACGAAAGUCUGACGGAGCAACGCCGCGUGAGUGAUGAAGGCUUUCGGGUCGUAAAACUCUGUUGUUAGGGAAGAACAAGUGCUAGUUGAAUAAGCUGGCACCUUGACGGUACCUAACCAGAAAGCCACGGCUAACUACGUGCCAGCCGCCGCGGUAA
rnacentral:rRNA from 1 species